UUUGGUGAGGACUCCGGGGGAUGUGGCGCAGUGAAAACCAGCCAGGGAAAGGUCAGGGCUUAGAAGGCAUCAUGUAAAUGAGAUGGAGGCACAAGGAACUGUAGAAGAAUGGACAGAGAAAGAGGUCAAUAACUAGCACUAUUUCAUUGCCUGAAGAGUGAAUCAUGCCAGCAAACUGCCGGGAAACACAUCCCAUCGGUUUCCGGAGUGACCGAGCAUCCGGGUGAGACGCGGCAGGGUUACCCUGUGCCAGAUGAGAAC